rnacentral:lncRNA from 1 species
UUAAUUUAAUAAAUUAACUUCAAUAGAACAGCUAGAAUAGUAAGCACUAUGUAAGUGUCUGUUAAAUGAACACAUGAUUGUCACCUAUGGUUAAAACAUUACCAGAAAUUGAGACCCAGAAUUUGACAAGUUAGAGCAUCUUCAUGGACAAAAGGGACAGAAUAGUGGAAGCCAGGACUGUUGAGGUCAAUUAGGAUGCAUGGUAUAACCGCAGGUGAGACAUCAAUAAGGGAACCUAGCGACAGGUGGGUCAGAGUUGAGGCUUUAAGGUCAGGCUGCCAAAUUCAGCCACUAGCUUCCUACUUAUUAACUGUGUUCCCUGGGCAAAUCACUGAAUCUGUCUAAGGGUCAAUUUUCUCAUAUGUAAAAAUAGGAUAAAAAUAAACAGAGCCUCUCCUUAGGUGUGUUUUGAAGAUUAAAUAGAUUAUGUAGGGUACUUAACAUUAUUCAUGGUAUGUCUGAAUAAAUGUUCAUUUUGUUAACGAUCAGGACCUAUAAUUGAGAGGCCAACUGGACCAUUUGACCUUGGCUGAAGGGGACACAGGAGUGCAGAAUGAAGUUUUGCCAUGAACGUAGAUCCUCCCUUACAAAUCCCUCCAUUUUCAAACCCGAGGUCAGAGCUUCUCUGGGCAGCCAGCCCCAGCCCUCAGGUGAACUCAGCACAGCCCUUCUGACUUACCCAGGAAGAUGGGAAAAGGCGAGAGUGAAGAAGCAAGAGAGAAUGAAAUGAAGAAGCCAAGUCUUCUCCUUCUUCCUUUCCCCUCCAGAGGAAAACCAUCUCAAGAGCCAGAAGUGGUAUAGGCCCCUAAGUCAAGCUUUUUCAAGCUCCACUUCUAAUGCUCCAUGCCUUAAAAAGUAUGACCCAAGACUGUCCCUGAACAUGGCUGAUCCACGGUAACAUCCUUCCUCCUGGGAUAGUCUCAGAGGUGCGUGAGGGGAGCACCAUGAACUUUCUCAACCUACAGGCCAACAUAUUUUAUUUUAUAUUCUUAUGUCACUAUCUCAGAACUUAAUAGCCACUGUAUGGCAAAAUAAAUAAUUGGGUUUUUGUGA